AGCUCCAAUAGCGUAUAUUAAAGUUGUUGCAGUUAAAAAGCUCGUAGUUGGAUUUCUGCGAGGGUGCCAAUGUCCGCCGACGCGCGUGCGCAGCGGCGCCCUCGCAUCCUUCUGUUACCACCUCUCGGCAUUCACUUGCCGGUGGUCGGCUCAGAGAAUUUACCUUGAGAAAAUUAGAGUGUUUCAGGCAGGCUAGGCCGGAAUACAUUAGCAUGGAAUAAUGGAAUAGGACUACGGUCUCGUUGUUGGUUUGAGGGACUGCAGUAAUGAUUAAUAGGGAUAGUUGGGGGCAUUAGUAUUUAAUUGUCAGAGGUGAAAUUCUCGGAUUUGUUAAAGACUAACUUAUGCGAAAGCAUUUGCCAAGGAUGUUUUCA
rnacentral:rRNA from 1 species